rnacentral:rRNA from 1 species
AGUGAACGCUGGCGGUAGGCCUAACACAUGCAAGUCGAACGGCAGCACAGUAAGAGCUUGCUCUUACGGGUGGCGAGUGGCGGACGGGUGAGGAAUACAUCGGACUCUACUUUUUCGUAGGGGAUAACGUAGGGAAACUUACGCUAAUACCGCAUACGACCUACGGGUGAAAGCAGGGGAUCUUCGGACCUUGCGCGAUUGAAUGAGCCGAUGUCGGAUUAGCUGGUUGGCGGGGUAACGGCCCACCAAGGCGACGAUCCGUAGCUGGUCUGAGAGGAUGGUCAGCGACACUGGAGGGUAGACACGGUCCAGACGCCUACGGUAGGCCGCAGUGGGGAAUAUUGGACAAUGGGCGCGAGCCUGAUCCAGCCAUACCGCGUGGGUGAAGAAGGCCUUCGGGUUGUAAAGCCCUUUUGUUGGGAAAGAAAAGCAGCAGGUUGAUACCCCGCUGGUCUGACGGUACCCAAAGAAUAAGCACCGGCUAACUUCGUG